rnacentral:lncRNA from 7 species
CCUGCUGGCCUCUCAUUGGUCAACGGCAUUCCUGGCCCGCCCCUGGCCUCUGAUUGGUGAGUGGCAGCGCCGCCAGCUCCAAUCAGCUGAGGGGCAGAGCGCGCCGUUGGCAACCGGCUUGGAAUCGCCCAGCUGUCCCCUCAGACGGCAGCCCGUGGCCGUCCCCUUCGCCGUGGGAUGCGGGGAUUUGGGGCGGCUGAAGGAGUCGGGGCCCCCACCGCUGUAGCGCUGCUGCCCCCAUUAGGGCCUGGAACCCCGAGCCUCCAGCGCUGCUCACGGUUUCAGUGUGCAGUCUGCUGAUCCGAAAGAAAGAAGGCGGCUUUUGGAGGACUUAAUCAUUGCGAGUCGAGCUGCUGCUGAACCUCCCCUUCCAACAUCCAGCAGGUGAGGACGUUGUGCAUCUCAGC